AAUGAGCCUGAGCAGGUCAAUAAUGAAUUAAUGAGUCAACACGAGUUGCAUCAAUCAGCAUUGUUUAAAGGCAAUAGAUCUCAUUUAAAGAAACUGGUAAUGAAGUACGGUAUUGACUACAAAGAUGAAGGUGGGCAUACUGCUCUCAUGUAUUCUGUCUUGGGCAAUCAAACAAAAAUUUGUGAGUCACUGAUCAAUAUGGGUGCUGAUGUUAAUGCUACUGACAAUGCUAAUCUUACAGCAUUGUUUUGGGCUGUCUAUCAUGCUAGGCCUGAAAUCAUUAAGAUUCUACUACGGAAUGGAGCUGAUGUUCACAUAACUGACCCUCAUGGAAGGUCAGUUUCUCACUGGGUAAUGAAAACACCGAACGCCUUAUGUUUAAAGGUCCUUUGUAAACAUGUAAUUGGAAAUAUUGAAAACAAACUGACAUGGAAGGUUUAACUCCUUUGCAUUGGGCUGUAAUGUGUGAACAGCAUCAACACAUCAGCACACUCCUCUCAUGUGUUCCAACUACUAAUGUUUGUGCACAAGAUCGUAAAGGUCGAACACCACUAAACUAUGCUGUACUUCUCUUUUCUCCAAUUUGUAUCAAAGCCAUCCUUGAGUCCAGACCAAUAGCUGCUACUUUUGCAGAUUUCAAGGGAAGAACAACUUUACACUAUGCAUGUGCUGAAGGCUCUGUUGACUGUGUAAGAGCAUUACUUGCUUGCAAAAGCUGUGAUCUUCAUUGUCAAGAUAAUUCAGGGACUACUCCUCUCCAUUGGGCAGCUGCAGCAAACCAGCCUGGUAUUAUCCAGUUACUACUGAGACAAGGAGCUGAUCGUGGACAAAGGGAUGCUAGUGAUAUGACUCCUCUUGAUCAUGCUAAUCAAAGGAAUCACACUGAAUGUAUUAAACUCUUAGAAAGUUACGGCUGGCUGAGACAGUCAUCAUCAUGGUCCAUUGCAUCACAAUUUUCUAUUCAUCCUCCAACUCCUCCUGAGCUGGAUGAACAUGGACAUGUUCCAAUGAAGCGGCCAUCAUCAUCUACUGACCAGCAGUUACCACAAGAUAUUGGUCAAAUGAAUCCUGCUGAUCACUGCAGGUAUCCUGCUGAUGGUCAUUCUAAUAGCACACAAGAGGAACAUCACUACUAGAUUCUACCUACUGAAGACACACAGUGGCAAUCAGCAAGUGGGGAGGAAACUGCAUUGACUGCUGUCAGUGGGCCUAAUUUUACUGCAUCUUGUUUUAACUGGAAGCAAAAGCUGAAGAAGAUGUUUUCUAUUUUUUCAAGGCACAAUGUCCGUGUGGCCCCUGCAUGAGGAUGAAGUGCCCUACAGUAUUUGCACUUUACAAAUGAUCAAAUUAUAGCUACUUUGUACCAUUAUAAUUUUUUUCAACAUGAUUAUACUAUCUACCAUAUACAAUGAAA